rnacentral:rRNA from 1 species
UUGACCUCGAAUCAGGUAGGACUACCCGCUGAACUUAAGCAUAUCAAUAAGCGGAGGAAAAGAAACUAACAAGGAUUCCCCUAGUAACUGCGAGUGAACCGGGAAGAGCUCAAAUUUUGAAUCUGGCGGUCUUUUCGGCCGUCCGAGUUGUAAUCUAGAGAAGCGUCUUCCGCGCUGGACCGUGUAUAAGUUUCCUGGAAUGGAACGUCGUAGAGGGUGAGAAUCCCGUCUUUGACACGGACUACCAGGGCUAUGUGAUGCGCUCUCGACGAGUCGAGUUGUUUGGGAAUGCAGCUCAAAUAGGGUGGUAAAUUCCAUCUAAAGCUAAAUACAGGCGAGAGACCGAUAGCGAACAAGUACCGUGAGGGAAAGAUGAAAAGAACUUUGGAAAGAGAGUUAAACAGUACGUGAAAUUGCUGAAAGGGAAACGCUUGAUGUCAGUCGCGUCGGCCGGGGAUCAGCCUUGCUCUUUUGCUCGGUGUACUUCCUGGUCGACGGGUCAGCAUCAGUUUCGACCGUCGGAAAAUGGCUCGAGGAAUGUGGCACUCUUCGGGGUGUGUUAUAGACUCGGGUCGAAUACGAUGAUCGGGACUGAGG